GAAUCCUACGGGGGGCAGCAGUGGGGAAUAUUGCACAAUGGGGGGAACCCUGAUGCAGCAAUGCCGCGUGAAGGAUGAAGGUUUUCGGAUUGUAAACUUCUUUUGUACGGGACGAAGAAAGUGACGGUACCGUAAGAAUAAGCCACGGCUGACUACGUGCCAGCAGCCGCGGUAAUACGUAGGUGGCAAGCGUUGUCCGGAUUUACUGGGUGUAAAGGGUGCGGAGGCGGGGAAGCAAGGCAGAAGUGAAAUCCAUGGGCUUAACCCAUG
rnacentral:rRNA from 1 species